GGCUUCGUGGCCCAAUGGCAAGGCGUCUGACUACGAGAAAGAUUCAACAACACUGAAUCCUUUCAACGGUAAUCAGGAGAUUCUGGGUUCGACCCCCAGCGAGGUCA